rnacentral:rRNA from 1 species
UACGGAGGGUGCGAGCGUUGUCCGGAAUCACUGGGCGUAAAGGGCGCGUAGGCGGCCUGAUAAGUAGGGGGUGAAAUCCUGCGGCUUAACCGCAGGGCUGCCUUCUAAACUGUCAGGCUCGAGCACAGUAGAGGCAGGUGGAAUUCCCGGUGUAGCGGUGGAAUGCGUAGAGAUCGGGAAGAACAUCAGUGGCGAAGGCGGCCCGCUGGGCAGUGGCUGACGCUGAGGCGCGACAGCGUGGGGAGCAAACAGG